rnacentral:rRNA from 1 species
GUAAAGGCCUACCAAGGCGACGAUCUGUAGCGGGUCUGAGAGGAUGAUCCGCCACACUGGGACUGAGACACGGCCCAGACUCCUACGGGAGGCAGCAGUGGGGAAUUUUGGACAAUGGGGGCAACCCUGAUCCAGCCAUGCCGCGUGAGUGAAGAAGGCCUUCGGGUUGUAAAGCUCUUUCGGCCGGGAAGAAAUCGCACAGGCUAAUACUCUGUGUGGAUGACGGUACCGGCAUAAGAAGCACCGGCUAACUACGUGCCAGCAGCCGCGGUAAU